CGCACGGGUGAGUAACACGUGAGUGACCUGCCUUUUAGACUGGAACAACUUACCGAAAGGUGAGCUAAUGCCGGAUGAGUUAUAUAAGUGCAUGUUUAUAUAGGAAAAGUUGGGGAGACCUGACGCUGAAAGAUGGACUCGCGUCCCAUUAGCUAGUUGGUAGGGUAAUGGCCUACCAAGGCGACGAUGGGUAGCCGGCCUGAGAGGGUGGCCCGGCCACACUGGGACUGAGACACGGCCCAAACUCCUACGGAAGGCAGCAG
rnacentral:rRNA from 1 species